rnacentral:rRNA from 1 species
CUCAGUUCGGAUUGGAGUCUGNAACCCGACUCCAUGAAGCUGGAUUCGCUAGUAAUCGCGGAUCAGAAUGCCGCGGUGAAUACGUUCCCGGGUCUUGUACACACCGCCCGUCACACCAUGGGAGUCGGAAAUGCCCGAAGCCGGUGACUCAACCUUUAAGGAGAGAGCCGUCGAAGGCAGGUCUGAUAACUGGGGUGAAGUCGUAACAAGGUAGC